rnacentral:rRNA from 1 species
CUACCAGGAAAGUCGACCCUGACGGCGUAACCGCAACGGAACGUAAGGGCCCCAAAGGAGUGAACGGUAACUGGGGUG